rnacentral:rRNA from 1 species
AGACGAAUCAUCUGGAAAGAUGAAUCAAAGAAGGUAAUAAUCCUGUAGUCGAAAAUGUUGUCUCUCUUGAGUGGAUCCUGAGUACGACGGAGCACGUGAAAUUCCGUCGGAAUCUGGGAGGACCAUCUCCUAAGGCUAAAUACUCUCUAGUGACCGAUAGUGAACCAGUACCGUGAGGGAAAGGUGAAAAGCACCCCGGAAGGGGAGUGAAAUAGAACCUGAAACCGUGUGCUUACAAGUAGUCAGAGCCCGUUAAUGGGUGAUGGCGUGCCUUUUGUAGAAUGAACCGGCGAGUUACGAUUUGAUGCAAGGUUAAGCAGUAAAUGUGGAGCCGUAGCGAAAGCGAGUCUGAAUAGGGCGUUUAGUAUUUGGUCGUAGACCCGAAACCAGGUGAUCUACCCUUGGUCAGGUUGAAGUUCAGGUAACACUGAAUGGAGGACCGAACCGACUUACGUUGAAAAGUGAGCGGAUGAACUGAGGGUAGCGGAGAAAUUCCAAUCGAACCUGGAGAUAGCUGGUUCUCUCCGAAAUAGCUUUAGGGCUAGCCUCAAGUGAUGAUUAUUGGAGGUAGAGCACUGUUUGGACGAGGGGCCCCUCUCGGGUUACCGAAUUCAGACAAACUCCGAAUGCCAAUUAAUUUAACUUGGGAGUCAGAACAUGGGUGAUAAGGUCCGUGUUCGAAAGGGAAACAGCCCAGACCACCAGCUAAGGUCCCAAAAUAUAUGUUAAGUGGAAAAGGAUGUGGCGUUGCCCAGACAACUAGGAUGUUGGCUUAGAAGCAGCCAUCAUUUAAAGAGUGCGUAAUAGCUCACUAGUCGAGUGACACUGCGCCGAAAAUGUACCGGGGCUAAACAUAUUACCGAAGCUGUGGAUUGUCCU